rnacentral:rRNA from 1 species
UGGGGAAUAUUGGACAAUGGGCGAAAGCCUGAUCCAGCCAUGCCGCGUGUGUGAAGAAGGUCUUCGGAUUGUAAAGCACUUUAAGUUGGGAGGAAGGGCAGUAAGCGAAUACCUUGCUGUUUUGACGUUACCGACAGAAUAAGCACCGGCUAACUCUGUGCCAGCAGCCGCGGUAAUACAGAGGGUGCAAGCGUUAAUCGGAAUUACUGGGCGUAAAGCGCGCGUAGGCGGCUAAUUAAGUCAAAUGUGAAAUCCCCGAGCUUAACUUGGGAAUUGCAUUCGAUACUGGUUAGCUAGAGUGUGGGAGAGGAUGGUAGAAUUCCAGGUGUAGCGGUGAAAUGCGUAGAGAUCUGGAGGAAUACCGAUGGCGAAGGCAGCCAUCUGGCCUAACACUGACGCUGAGGUGCGAAAGCAUGGGGAGCAAACAGG